CGGGGAGGUAGUGACGAAAAAUAACGAUACGGGACUCAUCCGAGGCCCCGUAAUCGGAAUGAGUACACUUUAAAUCCUUUAACGAGGACCAAUUGGAGGGCAAGUCUGGUGCCAGCAGCCGCGGUAAUUCCAGCUCCAAUAGCGUAUAUUAAAGUUGCUGCGGUUAAAAAGCUCGUAGUUGAAUCUGUGUGUCACAGUGUCGGUUCACCGCUCGCGGUGUUUAACUGGCAUAAUGUGGCACGUCCUACCGGUGGGCUUAGCUCCUCGCGGGCGGUCCAACCAAUAUCCCAUCGCGGUGCUCUUCACUGAGUGUCGUGGUGGGCCGGUACGUUUACUUUGAACAAAUUAGAGUGCUCAAAGCAGGCCAUCUUCGCCUGAAUACUGCGUGCAUGGAAUAAUGGAAUAGGACCUCGGUUCUAUUUUGUUGGUUUUCGGAACCCCAAGGUAAUGAUUAAUAGGGACAGAUGGGGGCAUUCGUAUUGCGACGUUAGAGGUGAAAUUCUUGGAUCGUCGCAAGACGUACAGAAGCGAAAGCAUUUGCCAAAAAUGUUUUCAUUAAUCAAGAACGAAAGUUAGAGGUUCGAAGGCGAUCAGAUACCGCCCUAGUUCUAACCAUAAACGAUGCCAGCUGGCGAUCCGCCGGUGUUCCUUAGAUGACUCGGCGGGCAGCUUCCGGGAAACCAAAGCUUUUGGGUUCCGGGGGAAGUAUGGUUGCAAAGCUGAAACUUAAAGGAAUUGACGGAAGGGCACCACCAGGAGUGGAGCCUGCGGCUUAAUUUGACUC
rnacentral:rRNA from 1 species